rnacentral:rRNA from 1 species
CAGCAGCCGCGGUAAUACAGAGGGUGCGAGCGUUAAUCGGAUUUACUGGGCGUAAAGCGUGCGUAGGCGGCUUUUUAAGUCGGAUGUGAAAUCCCUGAGCUUAACUUAGGAAUUGCAUUCGAUACUGGGAAGCUAGAGUAUGGGAGAUGAUGGUAGAAUUCCAGGUGUAGCGGUGAAAUGCGUAGAGAUCUGGAGGAAUACCGAUGGCGAAGGCAGCCAUCUGGCCUAAUACUGACGCUGAGGUACGAAAGCAUGGGGAGCAAACAGGAUUAGAGACCCGCGUAGUCCCUGUCUCUUAUAC